GAGAGUUCAAGAGUACGUGAAACCGCUUAGUAGUAAACGGAGGGACUCUCGAAGUCGGCGGUGACGGUUCAGGGUGACGGCGGGGCGGCCUGGGGGCGUGGGAUCCGCAAGGACCCUGUCCCUUUGUCAGCUCUGUCGGCGCCUGCACUUCGUUGCCGCCAUACGCGAUGAACCGUUUCUGGCGGACCGAGGGCGUGGGUGAAGUUUGUUGGCUUCGGCUUUCAAGCCCCGCGUUCCUGGCUCUGUCGGGGACGGGUAGUGGAGCGAUCUCUUAUAGAGAGUGCCCUCGCUGGCACGGUUCGCAUCUCUAUCGCGAGUAGGUCGGCGGUCCCUCCGACCCGUCUUGAAACACGGACCAU
rnacentral:rRNA from 1 species